AGGGAGAACAGCGAGAACUCCAAUUCCAGUAGCCACAACCCGCUGGCUUCCUCGCUCAAUGGCAGCGGCAAGUCGGUGCUAGGCAGUUCCGAGGACGAGAAGACGCCGUCGGGGACUCCAGACCACUCGUCAUCCAGUCCCGCACUGUUGCUCAGCCCGCCGCCGCCCCCUGGGUUGCCUUCCCUACACAGCCUGGGCCACCCUCCGGGCCCGAGCGCAGUGCCCGUGCCAGUGCCCGGUGGAGGCGGCGCGGAUCCACUGCAGCAUCACCACAGCCUGCAGGACUCCAUACUCAACCCCAUGUCGGCCAACCUUGUGGACCUAGGCUCCUAGAGCUCUGCUCGCCUCCCGGCGCUUGCUUUCCGUGCUUGGUGCGGGGACUUGAGAGGCGGUGUGGGAGGGCGGUAGAUUGGAGUCUGGACCGGGUACUGGAAGACUGCCCUGCCACGCUGGAGCGGCAGAACCGGCGGCGGGACAAAGUGGACAAUGGUCUGCUCGGGGUCCUUUGCGGGAUUCAUUCUCAAGUUGCUUUUGAGAUCCUUUGGAGGCCAGGGACCUAGUCUUGAACUGGGCAAGGGAAUAAAUUAUAAACGACCACCACCCCUUUUAAAAUCUCUUCCCUUUCUCUUGCUCUUUUCUUUCCUCCAUUUUCCCUUCGGGUUUCUUAUGUCUCCUCUUUUCAUUUUUUUCUCUCUGCCUCUUUUUGCUUUUCUUUUUCCCCUUUAUACAUUUCUGGAUCUCUCUCUCUCUCUCUCUCUCUCUCUCUC
rnacentral:lncRNA from 1 species